UGGGGAAUAUUGCACAAUGGGCGCAAGCCUGAUGCAGCCAUGCCGCGUGUGUGAAGAAGGCCUUCGGGUUGUAAAGCACUUUCAGCGGGGAGGAAGGCGAUAAGGUUAAUAACCUUGUCGAUUGACGUUACCCGCAGAAGAAGCACCGGCUAACUCCGUGCCAGCAGCCGCGGUAAUACGGAGGGUGCAAGCGUUAAUCGGAAUUACUGGGCGUAAAGCGCACGCAGGCGGUCUGUCAAGUCGGAUGUGAAAUCCCCGGGCUUAACCUGGGAACUGCAUUCGAAACAGGCAGGCUAGAGUCUUGUAGAGGGGGGUAGAAUUCCAGGUGUAGCGGUGAAAUGCGUAGAGAUCUGGAGGAAUACCGGUGGCGAAGGCGGCCCCCUGGACAAAGACUGACGCUCAGGUGCGAAAGCGUGGGGAGCAAACAGG
rnacentral:rRNA from 1 species